AACGAACGCUGGCGGCAGGCCUAACACAUGCAAGUCGAGCGAAGCCUUCGGGCUUAGCGGCGGACGGGUGAGUAACGCGUGGGAACGUGCCCUUUGCUACGGAAUAGCCCCGGGAAACUGGGAGUAAUACCGUAUGUGCCCUUCGGGGGAAAGAUUUAUUGGCAAAGGAUCGGCCCGCGUUGGAUUAGGUAGUUGGUGGGGUAAUGGCCUACCAAGCCGACGAUCCAUAGCUGGUUUGAGAGGAUGAUCAGCCACACUGGGACUGAGACACGGCCCAGACUCCUACGGGAGGCAGCAGUGGGGAAUCUUAGACAAUGGGGGAAACCCUGAUCUAGCCAUGCCGCGUGAUCGAUGAAGGCCUUAGGGUUGUAAAGAUCUUUCAGUGGGGAAGAUAAUGACUGUACCCACAGAAGAAGCCCCGGCUAACUCCGUGCCAGCAGCCGCGGUAA
rnacentral:rRNA from 1 species